AUUGAACGCUGGCGGCAUGCUUUACACAUGCAAGUCGAACGGUAACAGGGAGCUUGCUCCGCUGACGAGUGGCGAACGGGUGAGUAAUAUAUCGGAACGUACCCAAGAGUGGGGGAUAACGUAGCGAAAGUUACGCUAAUACCGCAUACGAUCUAAGGAUGAAAGCAGGGGAUCUUCGGACCUUGUGCUCCUGGAGCGGCCGAUAUCGGAUUAGCUAGUUGGUGAGGUAGAGGCUCACCAAGGCGACGAUCAGUAGCUGGUCUGAGAGGACGACCAGCCACACUGGAACUGAGACACGGUCCAGACUCCUACGGGAGGCAGCAGUGGGGAAUUUUGGACAAUGGGCGCAAGCCUGAUCCAGCAAUGCCGCGUGAGUGAAGAAGGCCUUCGGGUUGUAAAGCUCUUUUGUCAGGGAAGAAACGGGAGUGGCUAAUAUCCAUUCCUAAUGACGGUACCUGAAGAAUAAGCACCGGCUAACUACGUGCCAGCAGCCGCCGUAA
rnacentral:rRNA from 1 species